AGAGUUUGAUCCUGGCUCAGAUUGAACGCUGGCGGCAUGCCUUACACAUGCAAGUCGAACGGCAGCGGGGACUUCGGUCCGCCGGCGAGUGGCGAACGGGUGAGUAAAGUAUCGGAACGUACCUUUCAGUGGGGGAUAACGUAGCGAAAGUUACGCUAAUACCGCAUAUUCUGUGAGCAGGAAAGCAGGGGAUCGCAAGACCUUGCGCUGAUUGAGCGGCCGAUAUCAGAUUAGCUAGUUGGUGGGGUAAAGGCCUACCAAGGCGACGAUCUGUAGCGGGUCUGAGAGGAUGAUCCGCCACACUGGAACUGAGACACGGUCCAGACUCCUACGGGAGGCAGCAGUGGGGAAUUUUGGACAAUGGGGGCAACCCUGAUCCAGCCAUGCCGCGUGAGUGAAGAAGGCCUUCGGGUUGUAAAGCUCUUUCGGCCGGGAAGAAAUCGCAUAGGUUAAUACCCUGUGUGGAUGACGGUACCGGAAUAAGAAGCACCGGCUAACUACGUGCCAGCAGCCGCGGUAAUACGUAGGGUGCGAGCGUUAAUCGGAAUUACUGGGCGUAAAGCGUGCGCAGGCGGUUUCGUAAGACAGAGGUGAAAUCCCCGGGCUCAACCUGGGAACUGCCUUUGUGACUGCGAAGCUAGAGUACGGCAGAGGGGGGUGGAAUUCCACGUGUAGCAGUGAAAUGCGUAGAGAUGUGGAGGAACACCGAUGGCGAAGGCAGCCCCCUGGGCCGAUACUGACGCUCAUGCACGAAAGCGUGGGUAGCAAACAGGAUUAGAUACCCUGGUAGUCCACGCCCUAAACGAUGUCAACUAGGUGUUGGGUGGGUAAAACCAUUUAGUACCGUAGUUAACGCGUGAAGUUGACCGCCUGGGGAGUACGGCCGCAAGGUUAAAACUCAAAGGAAUUGACGGGGACCCGCACAAGCGGUGGAUGAUGUGGAUUAAUUCGAUGCAACGCGAAAAACCUUACCUACCCUUGACAUGUUCAGAAUCCUGGAGAGAUUUGGGAGUGCCCGAAAGGGAGCUGGAACACAGGUGCUGCAUGGCUGUCGUCAGCUCGUGUCGUGAGAUGUUGGGUUAAGUCCCGCAACGAGCGCAACCCUUGUCGUUAAUUGCCAUCAUUUAGUUGGGCACUUUAACGAGACUGCCGGUGACAAACCGGAGGAAGGUGGGGAUGACGUCAAGUCCUCAUGGCCCUUAUGGGUAGGGCUUCACACGUCAUACAAUGGUCGGUACAGAGGGUUGCCAAGCCGCGAGGUGGAGCCAAUCCCAGAAAGCCGAUCGUAGUCCGGAUUGCAGGCUGCAACUCGCCUGCAUGAAGUCGGAAUCGCUAGUAAUCGCGGAUCAGCAUGUCGCGGUGAAUACGUUCCCGGGUCUUGUACACACCGCCCGUCACACCAUGGGAGCGGGUUCCGCCAGAAGUAGGUAGCCUAACCGCAAGGGGGGCGCUUACCACGGCGGGGUUCGUGACUGGGGUGAAGUCGUAACAAGGUAGCCGUAGGGGAACCUGCGGCUGGAUCACCUCCUU
rnacentral:rRNA from 1 species